UGCACAUGCAAAGAGUUUAGAUUUUUCCAUGCUUUUGUACGAAUGAUGCAAGGCAUGACUUAUUGCUAGAAAGAAAGUUGUAUUUCGGCCACAUUCACCUAAACAAGGUUCUAACUUUCAUUAACUUCGUAAAUUAAGGUGGGUUGUGGUUUAAACUUGAGGUUGACUUUGAUGGUAACACAUGCACUUAACCAUUUUUAUCUCAAAACCUACAGUGAUUCUGAGG
rnacentral:lncRNA from 1 species